ensembl:lncRNA
AAGAGCAAGACUUCAGAGUUUCCCAUAGUCUGUAAGAAACUGCCGUGACUGCCUCAACCUUUUCUUUUCUAGAGGUGCUAGAAGUUACACCCAAAAUAUCACAUGAUGCCAUUUACCUGUUUCUUAUGAAUGAAGUCUUCUACUGUUGUAAGAGGUCUUCAGAGUGAAGUGGAGAUUGAGACACCAGGAGGAGACUCAUUCAGUAAUGGCACUGGGCUCCUGUGGCAAAACCCCAACAUCACUCCUCUGUCUGACAUCACUAGUGACAAGAGAGAUCUGUUAGCUGGAGGCUGCACAAUCUCCAGAAAGGAAUCACAGAGGGAUCAGCUGGACAGGAGCGGGAAGUGGCACUGCUGAUGGGCCAGUUGUGUUUAAGCGCAGAGUAAUUGAAAGGCUGAUUUCCAUACACCACUCUACCCCUACCAGUAACUUUUAGACACAGAAGACAAUCAACAUUUUCAUUAUUUUUUCCAUUAUUUUCUUUUUUGCAUUAUUUUUGUGUUUUUGUGUAUUUCCUUCUUGAUGCUUGGAGAAGCAUAGUAAGAGUUUUUAAUCAGUUUUUGAAAGUGUCUAUUCUCCAAAGCUUAAAUUGAGGCUGAACUUAUUAGGAAUGCAUUUCCUUCUUCAAUGUAAUGUAGUAACUCUUUUAAUCUUCCUUUUCUGUAAUUUCACUUUCUGAAAUACAAAACCAUGUGUUUUUGUUUUUUCCCAAAUAAUAUUUGGUUGGAAGUUCUAGCAUCCUUACAAUUGGCAGCCUGGAUUUCAUCCUGUGAAUCUUGAGCAUCUUUGCUGAAAUGAGGAACAAUUGCUGUCAAUCCCUUGUGCUACAUUAACCUGUAUAAUGUGACAGAUUGAAAUGGUAGUAGCUUUUUAGGUUUUAGUGAAAAAUCAAUGGCAGAACUCCUUUUGCCUCCUACGUGGCUGAAAUAUCACACACACAAAGGAGUCUUAGGCAUGCACCUAAGACCAGAAAAAUAGACUUGGGAAUUUUUCAUUCUAUGGAGGAAACUUUGAGUUUCUUGUGAAAGAAAGGCCUUUGAAAAUCAAAGUAUCGUAUCUUGUUUUUCAUUUGACCUUACAUGUACAAAAUAUGCUUUACUCUUUCUGUAGGAAUUUGAUUCCUCACAUAUGAAUUCAUACUUGAGCAAGACUAAUCUUAUAAAUUUUUGCAUUUUGAAUUUUGUACACAAAACACACUAAGUUCUUUUGGAAGCGCAGCUUCUUUCAAAACACCUGCUGGUAUCUUGCAAGAUGUUGAAAUUUGUGAAAACGGGCAAGUGCUGUAUUCUCAAUAAUUGAGCAAGGCUUUUUCCCUUUCACAAUGUGGUUGCUACACCAUGCUGCUUCUAAUUAUUUCAUUCUUUCCUAAGAAAACAGUUUUAGAACUGUUUCUUCUCAAAAUAUCUGCAGAUACAGUACUAGUGAGCUUGCAGCAAACUCAGACAUGACUACAUAGAAAGCUUGAAUUGAACUGCAUCCUCAUCAUAAAUAUUUGAAAUACGGUUACAAAUUAUUUCAAAAAUCUUUAAUUAUUUUGCAGUGAAGGACACAUCAUACUGCUAUGCUAAUCAGUUGUCACCACUGAAAUAAACAAUGUUACAAACCCCA